GCUGGUGUAGCUCAAUGGUAGAGCAGCUGAUUUGUAAUCAGCUGGUUGGGGGUUCAAGUCCUCUCGCCAGCUCCA
rnacentral:tRNA from 2 species